rnacentral:rRNA from 1 species
UACGUAGGGUGCGAGCGUUAAUCGGAAUUACUGGGCGUAAAGAGCUCGUAGGUGGUUUGUCGCGUUGUUCGUGAAAACUCACAGCUCAACUGUGGGCGUGCGGGCGAUACGGGCAGACUUGAGUACUGCAGGGGAGACUGGAAUUCCUGGUGUAGCGGUGGAAUGCGCAGAUAUCAGGAGGAACACCGGUGGCGAAGGCGGGUCUCUGGGCAGUAACUGACGCUGAGGAGCGAAAGCGUGGGGAGCGAACAGG